CUCCAUCUUCUCGUCGAAGGUGCAGAGUUUUAUGGCGGUGAUGGCAGCGUUGUUGGUGUCAAUGUGCAAGGGACCAUCAAUGACUACAUCCAUUCCAUAACCCUAAGGCUGGGAACACGCCGUGUAUUGUCCAAUCAUAAUCCUGAAUCAGUCAUGACAAUGAUUAUUAAGUGUGAGGAGCUGCAGCAAAAUAAAAAAAUAAUGCCAGU